rnacentral:rRNA from 1 species
CCUACGGCGGCCGCAGUGAGGAAUAUUGGUCAAUGGACGGAAGUCUGAACCAGCCAAGGAGCGUGAAGGAUGACUGCCCUACGGGUUGUAAAAUUCUUUUAUAAAGGAAUAAAGUGAGGCACGUGUGCCUUUUUGUAUGUACUUUAUGUAUAAGGAUCGGCUAACUCCGUGCCAGCAGCCGCGGUAAUACGGUGGAUCCGAGCGUUAUCCGGAUUUAUUGGGUUUAAAGGGAGCGUAGAUGGGUUGUUAAGUCAGUGGUGAAAGUUUGCGGCUCAACCGUAAAAUUGCAAUUGAUACUGGCAGUCUUGAGUACAGUUGAGGUAGGCGGAAUUCGUGGUGUAGCGGUGAAAUGCUUAGAUAUCACGAAGAACGCCGAUUGCGAAGGCAGCUUACUAAACUGCCACUGACAUUGAUGCUCGAAAGUGUGGGUAUCAAACAGGAUUAGAUACCCGGGUAGUC